rnacentral:misc_RNA from 1 species
AAAGACAUGGCAUUGAUCUACCUCAGAUCAUUGAGAAGCAUGAACAAUUCCCAAAGAGUUGAUUCAAAUGGGAGGCUGCAGAACAUUUGCUGCGGGCAGUAAAUCAAAGAAGGGUGGUAAAGGGGGUGCAGCUGCCGAUGCUUCAAAGGCGUGAACAAUCAGCAAGGAAGUCAAGGCCACUGCAGUUGUUGGAGCAAAUAUCCCCAAGGAUGGAGCAAAUCCUAAUAUAUUGCAGGACUCAGAAUACUCGGAAUGGCUAGGGCACAUGCUGGAUAAAUGUCCUGCACUCAGUAAAUUGAGAAGGAAAGACAUUGAGUCUCUCCUUUAUGAGGGCCUUAAAUGCUUUGUCAAGCUAGAUAACCGAGCUAGGAUCAAGGAAAACAACUCGAUCAGGGCCAAGAAUUGAAAUCUCUUUUGAAGCUAAGUGAAUGUGA